rnacentral:ncRNA from 1 species
AAGGAGUAAAGGCAGUAAGCUGAUACGAUACCUUUUACGUAAUGGGUCAACUAUUACAAAUGUAGCAAGCAGAGAUGCGUAGUCUUAGGACGUUAUUAGUUACAUAUGUGUGACUCGAAAGUACAUGCUUCAUUCAUGAAGUUAAUUAUCUUGUUUUCAAUAAGAUGACUGUAAUUGUGAAUAGUAGUGAAAGACAAAUCAGACGUACAAAUAGCUAAAUCUCUACGAAAUGUAUAAUAGUACAGCUUUAAAAUAGUUACUGUUGUAAUAAGGGGCAACUCUGAAUGUGACAGUAAUGACUAAGAAGUGAGACUUUAGGCAAUUAGGCCCAUAGUCCAAUGGGAAACAGCCCAAUGUUAUAUGUAAGUCCCGAAUCUUGUUGCUAAUUAGAUACGCAUGAUUAAUAGAAACUAUUGGACAGGUAGGCUUAGAAGUAGCCAUCCUUUAGAUACAGUGUAAUAACUAAUCCGAUAGUAAUUAAUCAUUCACCUAAUAUAAGGAAAUAAGCCAAGAACUAAAGUAUAACCUAGGACAGCAAUGUCUUAG